rnacentral:lncRNA from 1 species
AUUCACGAUCUGAAAGUGCGCAGACUUAACGUACAUAAUCCUUGGUUGGGUUUAUUAUUUUUAUUUCACACGUAAAACACAUUUAUAGUUUUAUUCACCACUCCUGUUAGUUUUGGAUGCGCUCGGCUCCAACCAAUCAGACGCAACCGGUGUAAGCAAAGGAUGAUGGGAGAACGGAGAGACCCGUUUAUAAGAAUAAGAAAAGGAGGCGGAAUUGAUUGAUUCAAAUGCAGAGCACUAAGCUUCAAGCUGCUGACGAACUCCGUCAAGACAAGCAGGUAACCCUCUUCUUUUUUUUUUUUUUUUUUUUUGUAAACGUGAUCUACUGGAAACAAACGUUAAAGAGGGGACACACUUGUCUAAUUUAUUGUACGUAGUAAACGUUAUAUUAUUUGAUAUAUUUAUUAUAAAUUUUAUAUAUCUGUAUAUAUGUUUCAGUAAGUAAAUAUUCUUCAAUCUCUUUUUUCCCCCAUUUUCCGCAGAUCAGCAUCAAUGUCAACGUGAAGAACCUAGUUAUGUUGCCAGUGUCAACCCAACAAAAGUUCCCAGUUCACACACGCUUUGUCCUGCACAACAGAGAGGCAGUAACAGGAGGGUUUUUGCAGCCUUCAUCAGAGUUUCACAAGCCAAUAGUUCGGCUGUUGCCUGUGCAAAGGCCAGACCAUGUGUGUGACUGCCCAGCAGGUAACGUUGAGGUUUCACCCGGCGCAAUUGUGGCUCUUGUAACCAUAAAUGGUAAGUUGCCCUUUUGUCACACAGUACAUACACAAUAGAUGUGUUUGCAGGUUUUAGUGCAAAUUGUACAUUGCUAUCAUCAUUGUUUAUUUAUAUAGCACAUCAAAAACACACAAGGCUGA